AGAGCCAGCUGUGGGGAAUUAGUAAUCAGGAUGUUCUUAAUGAGCUCCAUCUUCAGGAGGUCAGACUCUGACGGCCCAACACAAGAUGGAGUCACAGCGAAAACAGAGUUGUCUGGGCUGGUACCUCGCCUCGCUCCUCCUUAUACCGCUCCUGGUUCUCCCCGGCCUGUGCUUGGACACCCUGCUGUGCAACCACUGCCCCCUGCAGCACAAGGGCCAAUCCUGCCCCGAUGUCACCACCACCACCAGGUGCCUGGCCGACGAGCGCUGCGCCAGCUCCUGGGGCCGAUUCGGAAGCCUCCACGUCCUUUCCGCUCAGGGCUGCAUGACGGAUGUGCUGUGCGGGACCCACGAGUUUCUAAGAUACCGGGGGGUUCGGUACAACGUGAGCCACGCAUGCUGCUGCGAGGACCGCUGUAACCUUGCGCCCCGGCCGGAGAGCGCCCUGUCUGAUCUGCUGGGGCUGAUCGCCCACAAACUGGAGGGUAUCAACUUUGGGAACUUGACGAGGAACGUCAUCGCCGAGGUGCCCUCGGAUUCGUGCAUCAAUUAUACGUCAUCGAGGGGCCACACGAGGGGUGACGUCUUUGAUACAUUGAGUUAAUGACGUCCCCCCUAGAAGGAGGAGCCUCUUAUCCAAGGACGCUCUCCUGACUUCGCCUAGAAACACGCACUGUUGUAAAAUGAAUCUAAUGUCUUCAUUAAGUCAUGAAAAUAUUUGAAAAUCUCUAAGUUAGUGUAUGCUUUGUGGUGCUUAUUGUAAUCCAGAGAGGUAAAGAUGGCUUGUUAACCAUUUUCCUGGUAAAUGCAAUUAAAUAAUAUUACAAAUGUAGGCAGUUUUUUUCUUAUAGCGCACACACACAAUAAAGGUAGGCAUUACAGAACCGAUCUUUGAUUGGUUAAACUGCACCAAUUUCCCCUGCAGGUGUGUCUGAGUUCAGAAGGUGUGGCCUUUAGAGAGUCGAUGUAUGUCCUUCAUCCAUCAUCAGCUCACACUGGAAACUUCUGUCUAUUAUUGUGGGGGUUCAAUUUUAAACAGUAGAAUGAGCAGGCUGCGAGUGUCCUCGGCGCUGAGGGUCGCCCUGCUAUGUGUGUGGUUGCUCCCAGCCCCCCUGUGGUGCGACAACCUACGCUGCUUCUACAGCCCCCUGCAGGACCGGGAGCAGGAGGCCGAGUCCGAGCUGGUGGUCACCGCGUGCCCCCACCGCGAGUUCUGCUUCAAGGGGGUCGGUCACUACGGCAACCGCAGCGCGCUGACCAUCCGAGGCUGCAUGGAGAAUGAGAGCUGCUACCAAGUGCACGUCAUCCGCCUCAAAGGGACGGAGUACGUCCUGAGCUUCAACUGCUGCCCCUGGCCCUAUUGCAACGCCGCACCCCCGGCCCCCCCGUCCCGAUAUCUGGUGCUCACGCCGGCCGCAGUGCUGCUGGGUUUGGCGGUGGAUAGCGUCUGUUUUUACUGAUGCGUUGCAAUGCAAUGCAUGUGUUUUUAAGAAGGGAUUUUUUUUGGAGAUGAUGGACUCGAGAGCAAAUGUCUUUCUGCGUUCGACUCAACAUUGGUUAGUGUUGACGGCCGAACCGACUCAGUGAAUGUGCCCAGUCUUACAAAACCGAGGCAGUUUUCAAUGUGUCCAGUAGAUAAAUGAUGCGUGUAUGAAGCACUGUUUUAAUAUAUACAAAUAAAUAAUUGAAUAAAUACAGUAUAAAUAUA